rnacentral:rRNA from 1 species
CCAAUAGCGUAUAUUAAAGUUGUUGCAGUUAAAAAGCUCGUAGUUGAAUUUCGGGGUUAGUAGGUUGGUCAUGCCUCUGGUAUGUACUGGUCUCACUGAUUCCUCCUUCCUGAUGAGCCGUAAUGCCAUUAAUUUGGUGUUGCGGGGAAUUUGGACUGUUACUUUGAAAAAAUUAGAGUGUUUAAAGCAAGCUCACGCUUGAAUACAUUAGCAUGGAAUAAUGAAAUAGGACGUUCGAUCCUAUUUUGUUGGUUUCUAGGAUUGACGUAAUGAUUAAUAGGGAUAGUUGGGGGCAUUAGUAUUCAAUUGUCAGAGGUGAAAUUCUUGGAUUUAUUGAAGACUAACUACUGCGAAAGCAUUUGCCAAGGAUGUUUUCAUUAAUCAAGAACGAAAGUUAGGGGAUCGAAGACGAUCAGAUACCGUCGUAGUCUUAACCAUAAACUAUGCCGACUAGGGAUCGGAUGAUGUUAAUUUUUUAAUGACUCAUUCGGCGCCUUACG